AUCCAGGGCUGCCGGAGAGGCGCGACGCGCUUCUAACAGGGGGCCGGCGGCGGCUCCGUCGCCGGCGGGAUGCGUUCGAGCGGUCUCGAGGAGACGGGAAAGGGGCUCUCCGCCCCCGCCCUCGGCCGAAAGCAGCUUUGCGCGACCCCGGUGCCCGGGAGGCCGGACCCCCCGCGGAGGUAGCCCAGUGACGAGCCGCCGCCGCCGCCGCCGCCGCCGCUGCCCCCUCCUCCCGAGCCGGGAGGGACCCGAUCAGGGCGAUACGGGCCGACUUCUGCCGGGAUCGAUUAACGUCCGCCGGGUCGAGCUCACGUUCGCAACGAACGACUCGGUCGGUCGAGAACGGGCGCCCGGUGAGGAACGGGAGCCGGCCUAGGGAAGGCCCGGCGCGCGUCAUCCUCGGGAGGUUAGUUGCUUAACAAGUCAACGUGGCUGGAGAGCAAAGGGCGACGACGAGGAGUCCGAUCCCACCCCAGCGGUGCUACGCGGUACCCAGACCCCCGAUGGCCACCGACUCGUACGGAGACGAGAACGCAAGCGUCGGCACCUCUUCCCGAAGAAGUCGUUACCGAUAAAGUACACCGACUGCGGGUAACGAUUUGCUCUCACGUUUUUGAGGCGUGCCUGCCUGCCUGCCUGCCUGCCUGGCUGUCUGCGUGCGUGCGUGCGUGCGUGCGUGGUAAAAGACAAGAUGUCAGACAUAAUAAAUUUUUAAAAAUGGAA